UUCCAGCACUUUGGGAGGCCGAGGCGGGUGGAUCACCUGAGGUCAGGAGUUUGAGACCCGCCUGACCAACAUGGAGAAACCCUGUCUCUACUAAAAAUACAAAAAUUAGCCAGGCAUGGUGGCGCAUGCCUGUAGUCCCAGUUACUCGGGAGGCUGAGGCAGGAGAAUCACUCGAACCUGGAAGGUGGAGGUUGCGGUGAGCCAAGAUCGCGCCAUUGCAUUCUAACCUGGGCAACAAGAGUGAAACUCCAUCUCAAACAAAACAAAACAAAACAAAAACAAAAACAAAAACAGCUGUCCCUGGGCCACCCCAGCUUGUCUCAGCCUCUGGCAGUUCUAAGUGGAGGCACCUGCCUGGAGCCCCCACACCGGGGUGCCGUCCGCAGCCACGAGGGCCGG
rnacentral:lncRNA from 1 species